GAUGAACGCUGGCGGCGUGCUUAACACAUGCAAGUCGAGCGAAGCGGUUUAAGUGAAGUUUUCGGAUGGAUCUUAGAUUGACUGAGCGGCGGACGGGUGAGUAACGCGUGGAUAACCUGCCUCACACAGGGGGAUAACAGUUAGAAAUGACUGCUAAUACCGCAUAAGCGCACGGCAUCGCAUGAUGCAGUGUGAAAAACUCCGGUGGUGUGAGAUGGAUCCGCGUCUGAUUAGGUAGUUGGUGGGGUAACGGCCCACCAAGCCGACGAUCAGUAGCCGACCUGAGAGGGUGACCGGCCACAUUGGGACUGAGACACGGCCCAAACUCCUACGGGAGGCAGCAGUGGGGAAUAUUGCACAAUGGGCGAAAGCCUGAUGCAGCGACGCCGCGUGAGUGAAGAAGUAUCUCGGUAUGUAAAGCUCUAUCAGCAGGGAAGAAAAUGACGGUACCUGACUAAGAAGCCCCGGCUA
rnacentral:rRNA from 1 species